rnacentral:antisense_RNA from 1 species
GUUUAUGGGUGGGCUGGGCAGGGGCCGCAAGGCCGCUGGUGCGCUCCACCAGUAUGCCAACCUGUUCAGUUCCGCCCACCAUG